GCCGCGGCCCCGCCCACACGCAGGCCCCGCCCACACUCCUGGAGCUGGGGUUCGCGGCCGCAGCGCCUGCGGCCCAGAGCGGGGCCUGCUCUUCCACACCAGUCCGCAUUGCCUCUCCCUGCAGCGAGCGGGGAAAGGACGCAGUGCUGCUGAGUGUCUUCAUUUUUGUUCGUUUUUGUCGUCAUUCCUCAAAGAGGAAAAAGGGCUUUGCCGAAUAAAGGGGCUACUGUCCCAGGGAUUUUCCGGCUUAAUUUAGGAGGGCUGAGAAGAGAGGGACGUGGCCGGCUCCGGAAGAACCUCGACCUGGUCUUCGAGGCUUUGGAACAGGGUCUCAAGCUUUAGAAAUGUCCCCAAAAGUAUGUUCCCAGAGAGCUUCAAAAUCCAGCUCUCCGCUCCGCUUGGAUAGUAAAUAGCCCCUUCAAACUUAACGUCCAAACGGAACUCCUGGAACUCCCAAUGCACCGAAGCAAAGCAAAAACGUUCUCCACCAGUCUUCUUUGCCAUCUCAAUCAAUGGCUACUCUAUUCUUAAGAGGCAAAAAUUUAGGAAUCCUCCCUGCCUCUUCUCUUUCACACCCCACAUCUAAUCUGCCAGCAAAAUCUUGUUGGCCCUGCCUCCAAAAUAGACCCCUAAUCUGGCCGUGUCACACCACCUCCACCUCCUACCCUCUGAUGUGCAUCAGAGGGUUGUACCACCCCACCCGUGUGGUUACAGCAGCCCCCCAAAUAUCCCCUCACCAUCCCGCACCUGCACAGUCCAGCCUGAACAAAGCCGCCAGACCAGUCCUUUGAAGCGUGACACCAAGUCACUUCUUUGCUCAGCACUUUCCAUUAAUUCCUCGUUUCACGCAGGAUAAAAGCUCCAUUUGAUCUACCCCCAGCCACAUUUCCUCCUGUUCUCACCUUCCUCACUCUUCUUCAGCUGAAAUGGCCUCCUGGCUCUCCUUGAAAAAGCAGGGUACACUCAUGUCCCAGGGCUUUUGGACUUCCUCAUCCCCCAAAUAUUGAGGUUUCGUUCCUCAUUUUCCUUCAAGUCUUUGUUCAAGUAUCACCUACCCUGACCAUCCUAUUUAAAUUUGUAAAUCAUUCCAAUAUUCCUAAUCCGCCUUACCCUACUUCGUUUUUUCCAUAGCACUUACCACCUUUUAACAGGAUUCUUUUAAUGUACUUAUGUGUACUGUAUUCUUCCCCUUCUCCUGCCACCACCCACGCACACAACAUAACCAUCAGUGCAGAUUGUUUCUGUUUUGUUUAAUGAUGAACAAUACCUAACAUGUCAUAAGUUCUCGUUAUAUAUUUUCUGCAGAAAUGAAUGUUUCAGAAUGUGCACUCCUCAAAAGCAGGGAUGGUGGCUCUCUUGUUCAUUGUUAUAUCCCUGGUGCUUAGAACAACACCUGGCACUAAAUGAAAGUGACCACAUUUUUUUAAAGGUGAUUGGCACCUCCUCCUGCUUUGACCUUGGUGUAAGGCCUAAUAUACCUGUAUCAGCUAGGUUCUGCUACCUGCAAGAACUCAAAGUCGUUAUUGAAUAAGCAUUUAGGCAAGCCGAAUUAGACUGUGUAGUUAAAGCAUGAAAAAACUAAAGAUGUGCUUCCUGGGAAAGCAGCACACAUCUGUUGCAUUUCCCCAAAUUUAUGAAGCCAAAAACAGAGAGAUUGUAAAUAAAAUACUGGUUCCAGCCCACAUCUGAAAGCUGGUGGGAAAAAUCAAGUUAUAAGAGAAAACGAGAAAAAGAAAUCACACUGUGCACACAGGAAGAACACCAUGUGAACACGAAAGCAGAGAUCAGGACGAUACAUCUACAAGCCACAAACACCAGGACUGCCGAAAGCUAGGACAGAGCCAUGGAACAGAUUCUCCCUCACAGCCCUCGGAGUGAACUAACCCUGUGGGUAUCUUGAUCUUGGACUUCCAGCCCUCCAGAACAAUGAGACAACAAAUUUGUUUUCAAAUCA